AAAAGCGUAGUCGAUGGGAAACAGGUUAAUAUUCCUGUACUUGGUAAAGCUGCGAUGUGGGGACGGAGUAGGUUAGGUUAUCGCACUGUUGGAUAUGUGCGUUUAAGUUGGUAGGUGGGAAGUUUAGACAAAUCCGGACUUCCUUAACACAGAGAGAUGAUGACGAGGCUCUACGGAGCUGAAGUAACUGAUACCACACUUCCAGGAAAAGCCACUAAGCGAAAGGCUUUACUAAACCGUACUGAAAACCGACAC
rnacentral:rRNA from 1 species